GCGCGAAAACUUUACAAUGCGGGAAACCGUGAUAAGGGGACACCGAGUGCCAGCGUCAUACGCUGGCUGUCCGGGUGUGUAAAAUACACCUGUUAGCAAGGGCCGGGCAAGACCGGUGCCAGCCGCCGCGGUAACACCGGCGGCCCGAGUGGUGAUCGUGAUUAUUGGGUCUAAAGGGUCCGUAGCCGGUUUGGUCAGUCCUCCGGGAAAUCUGACAGCUCAACUGUUAGGCUUUCGGGGGAUACUGCCAGACUUGGAACCGGGAGAGGUAAGAGGUACUACAGGGGUAGGAGUGAAAUCUUGUAAUCCCUGUGGGACCACCUGUGGCGAAGGCGUCUCACCAGAACGGACCUGACGGCAAGGGACGAAAGCUAGGGGCACGAACC
rnacentral:rRNA from 1 species